UAUAUUCCUAUGUUUUUAAGGAGCUUAAAUCAUUAGAAAAAAAUCCAAUAUUUAAAAUUUGUGAUUGUAAUUAAUUAUUUAAAAUGUUUGAGUGUUUGUAAUUUAUAAAGCACAUUAGAACAAGAUACCAUUUCCAUGGAUUUACCAGCACUACUCAUAUUGCUGUGGUGUCAUAUAUUGGGUAAUAUAUAAUUAAGCAUUUAUCAAGUCCUAGUUUCAGCCAGGCCUGUAGAAUAAAUAGGCUGUCUUUGAUCACACAAUUAUAGUACAGAGAGUAUUAUUUAACAAACAGUACAAUCAGCAUAGGAGGCUAUGCAGACCGUUCCGGAGCCCAAAAGGAUAAAGUUAUGCUCUGCAAGCAACUUCAGAGCUCAAGCUGCAAAAAUCCAAAUUUUGGGCCACAAUUUAUGAUACUGGUAUUAAAGCUCUUACAAGUCCUCAAUAGGUAUUACUGGCACCAUGCUAGAGAGGAGAAAAUUGAGUCUCAGAGAUUUUAAGAAAUUUAUUCCAGACUGUGCAGCUAGAAAGUAUCCUGGAAUAUCUGUGUACAGCACCUUGAAAUAGAGGUUUUCAUUUGCUACUAUAAGGUAGAAAAGAGUUUUCCUCAUCCCCUUUAGGGCCCCUGGCUAGGCUUAAAAAUUAAACUGACAAAGACAGAUUAACAGGAGAAAAGCAUACAAAUUUUAUUGAAUUUUUACAUGGACUUGGGAGACUUCACAAGAGAAUGAAGAUCCAAAGAAGUGUCUAGGACAGGAAAAUUUUAUACCUUCUUUCUAGACAAUGGUUAAAGAUGGGAUCCACUGAAGAAGAAAGACCUGGGUCUUCAGCACCCUGUGUGCUAGCCCAGAAGUGUUAUUUGAAAGCCUCUGUUACAUCUGCUGCAGACCCCCUAGACAAGAGGACUUGCAUUUGGACAUUCUCAGCAGGAAUGGUUAUAGGCUGAUAGGACCAUAAAGCAGAUGAUGCUAGAUAGUUGAUAGAUCCUAUAGUUCAACUUCAUCCUAGUUAGAAGCUGGAUUCAUCUGACAUCAGAGAAAUGAAAUUUAAGGAGACCAAAACUAGAUCUGAGUUUCUUUAUAGAAACUUCUUUUCCAGCCUUGAAACUCUUGGAUGCUGAGUCCUGGAUAUGCAAUAGAUGACGACAACAUUUUCCUUUUAUGUAUGAAGGUGUAGAUGGAAGCUGACUUCUCACCAAAAAUGGCUUAUAGAAUCAACUUGAAAAACAUGAGGCAGCAAACAAAGGAAAGAGUAAAAUAUUUAUUUUAUCAUCCUUAAAUUCUUUGCUAGAUUGUAAACUUCAUGAAAGCAGGAUAACUUCCCUAUCCUUAACACCUGGUCUAUAAUAAAUACUCAAAAAAUAA